UACGUAGGGGGCUAGCGUUGUCCGGAAUCAUUGGGCGUAAAGAGCGUGUAGGCGGCCCGGUAAGUCCGCUGUGAAAGUCAAAGGCUCAACCUUUGAAUGCCGAUGGAUACUGUCGAGCUAGAGUCCGGAAGAGGCGAGUGGAAUUCCUGGUGUAGCGGUGGAAUGCGCAGAUAUCAGGAGGAACACCAAUAGCGAAGGCAGCUCGCUGGGACGGUACUGACGCUAAGGCGCGAAAGCGUGGGGAGCGAACAGG
rnacentral:rRNA from 1 species